CCCCUAGACGUUCUGGGCUGCACGCGCGCUACAAUAAUACGCACAGCGAGUAUCACCGAGCUCGAAAGGGCAAGGUAAACAAUAGACAAGGUACUGUAAUGGUUAUAGAUCCUUGUAAUUAUUGAUCUUCAACGAGGAAUUCCUAGUAAGUAUGUGUCAUCAUCACGCACUGAUUACGUCCCUGCCCUUUGUACACACCGCCCGUCGCUCCUACCGAUUGGGUGAGCCGAUGAAACUCUCGGAUGUAGGCUAUUCAUAGCCCGCAGAAGAGAUUUGAAUCGUAGCGCUUAGAGGAAGGAGAAGUCGUAACA
rnacentral:rRNA from 1 species